UACGGGGGGAGCAAGCGCUGUUCGGAUUUACUGGGCGUAAAGGGCGCGUAGGCGGUCACUACAAGUCAGCUGUGAAAUCUCCGGGCUUAACCCGGAACGGUCAGCUGAUACUGUCGGACUAGAGUGCAGAAGGGGCAACUGGAAUUCUCGGUGUAGCGGUGAAAUGCGUAGAUAUCGAGAGGAACACCUGCGGCGAAGGCGGGUUGCUGGGCUGACACUGACGCUGAGGCGCGAAAGCUAGGGGAGCGAACGGG
rnacentral:rRNA from 1 species